rnacentral:rRNA from 1 species
UAGCUAGUUGGUGAGGUAAAGGCUUAUCAAGGCGACGAUCUGUAGCGGGUCUGAGAGGAUGAUCCGCCACACUGGAACUGAGACACGGUCCAGACUCCUACGGGAGGCAGCAGUGGGGAAUUUUGGACAAUGGGGGCAACCCUGAUCCAGCCAUGCCGCGUGAGUGAAGAAGGCCUUCGGGUUGUAAAGCUCUUUCGGCCGGGAAGAAAUCGCAUGGGCCAAUACCCUGUGUGGAUGACGGUACCGGAAUAAGAAGCACCGGCUAACUACGUGCCAGCAGCCGCGGUAAUACGUAGGGUGCGAGCGUUAAUCGGAAUUACUGGGCGUAAAGCGUGCGCAGGCGGUUUUGUAAGACAGGCGUGAAAUCCCCGGGCUUAACCUGGGAACUGCGUUUGUGACUGCAAGGCUAGAGUACGGCAGAGGGGGGUGGAAUUCCACGUGUAGCAGUGUAAUGCGUAGAGAUGUGGAGGAACACCAAUGGCGAAGGCAGCCCCCUGGGUCGAUACUGACGCUCAUGCACGAAAGCGUGGGUAGCAAACAGGAUUAGAUACCCUGGUAGUCCACGCCCUAAACUAUGUCAACUAGGUGUUGGGUGGGUAAAACCAUUUAGUACCGUAGCUAACGCGUGAAGUUGACCGCCUGGGGAGUACGGCCGCAAGGUUAAAACUUAAAGGAAUUGACGGGGACCCGCACAAGCGGUGGAUGAUGUGGAUUAAUUCGAUGCAACGCGAAAAACCUUACCUACCCUUGACAUGCCAGGAACUUGCCAGAGAUGGCUUGGUGCCCAAAGGGAGCCUGGACACAGGUGCUGCAUGGCUGUCGUCAGCUCGUGUCGUGAGAUGUUGGGUUAAGUCCCGCAACGAGCGCAACCCUUGUCGUUAAUUGCCAUCAUUUAGUUGGGCACUUUAACGAGACUGCCGGUGACAAACCGGAGGAAGGUGGGGAUGACGUCAAGUCCUCAUGGCCCUUAUGGGUAGGGCUUCACACGUCAUACAAUGGUCGGUACAAAGGGUUGCCAAGCCGCGAGGCGGAGCCAAUCCCAGAAAGCCGAUCGUAGUCCGGAUUGCAGGCUGCAACUCGCCUGCAUGAAGUCGGAAUCGCUAGUAAUCGUGGAUCAGCAUGUCACGGUGAAUACGUUCCCGGGUCUUGUACACACCGCCCGUCACACCAUGGGAGCGGGUUCCGCCAGAAGUGGGUAGCCUAACCGCAAGGGGGGCGCUUACCACGGCGGGGUUCGUGACUGGGGUGAAGUCGUAACAAGGUAGCCGUAGGGGAACCUGCGGCUG